GUUACAGCAGCCGCGGUAAUACGAAGGGGGCUAGCGUUGCUCGGAAUCACUGGGCGUAAAGCGCACGUAGGCGGGUUCUUAAGUCAGGGGUGAAAUCCUGGAGCUCAACUCCAGAACUGCCUUUGAUACUGGGAAUCUCGAGUCCGGGAGAGGUGAGUGGAACUGCGAGUGUAGAGGUGAAAUUCGUAGAUAUUCGCAAGAGCACCAGUGGCGAAGGCGGCUCACUGGCCCGGUACUGACGCUGAGGUGCGAAAGCGUGGGGAGCAAACAGGAUUAGAUACCCCCGUAGUCC
rnacentral:rRNA from 1 species